AAAGAGCUGUCCUCAAUUACGUGUCGUGUCUCUCUGCGAGCAGAGAAAAUGCGAUAAGUGGUGCCAAAACCCGGGAAUUCGAAACUACAUUAAGGAUCAACAAACUCUUAUCUGGGUGCCGGAGUGACUGACACGAAUGGUGCAAAAUGCGGACCCUACUGAUCACACUGAAACUCCUGAUGGUGGUGAAAGCAGCCCUGGAAACGAAUGAAGAGACACAACAUCUGCUGUGGGCCUUUUCCCAUGCCUCUAGGAAAUAGCUCCCAAUUAUUGCCAUUCAUCUUUAGUACUAAAUGCCACUUCUGAAUGGCCAACAUUACCCUUUGAUCCACUACUGCCACUAACAACUUUUCAAAAAUCCUUUUACCUGGAAGCUUCUGUCUCCUCACGCGCUUCAACUUCUCCGACUGUUCGGGUGGCUCUCCCCCUCCAUUUCACGUUCUCCCCCCAAAUUCCUACUUUCACUAAUUCUUCUUUCUCUGGAUAUAACUUCUUCUUUGGGAACCCCACACAGGGUGUUCCCGCCAAUCCUUUUGACUCCUGGUUGCUCUGCUCCAAGAGGGGUGCUUGCACUCAACUCAAUGGUUUGGCCUUCCUAAACGGAGGCAGUUUUAAAAAUUGUACUUAUGUAUAAAAUACUAGUAACCCUUUGAAACUGAUGUAAAUGUCAACUGCUCUAAGGACCCAACCAUUCCGUUUGCUCCUACCCCAGUAUGUGUUUGGGCUCCGUUUGUCUUCAUUUUAUCCAAUUAUUCUCAUGUCAGUAAUAAUAGCUUGGAUUGUACCCAGAAUAAUGAUUCUUGUGUUAUAUCUGGUUGCUGGAACGGUUCCGUAUAUGAUUUAGCUAUACUUGCUCGCAUUCCAACCUAUAUUCCUUUCCCAGUAAAGGUACACAACAGAUACUUAACAGUAAUGCUACGAGCAAAAAAAGACUUUGGAAUCACUGCUGCUGUUAUUAUGGCAAUCACCGUAGCGGCCACCUCAGCAGCAGCUGCCGGAACAGCUCUGGCACUGUCUGUGCCCACUCCUCAAGUGCUCAACAAUCUUACCAGCUCCACCGGAGUGGUCCUUUCUACACAAAGUGCCAUUAAUCAACACCUCUAUAGGGGCAUCAUGCUACUGAACCAACAGGUGGACCUCCUACAAGAACAAAUGAACAUAAUUCCAGAGGUCCUGACUUCUACAUGUGUGACCUCUAUGACAGGACUUUGUAUCACCAGCACACAAUAUACCAACCUAUCUCGGGCAGCUAAUAUUUCCAAACAUCUCGGAACUUUGCUCAACGGUACAUGGACCUUUGAGUUUGAUAAACUUACUCAAACCUUACGGCAGGAGAUAUCCUCCCUCAAUGCCUCGAGGGUUGAUAUAGCCAAAGCCAUGGACUUCAUAUCAUGGGUGAAUCAUGCAACCAGCUUUGCGAAACAAUGGGCGGGCGUUGGGGCCUUGUUUAUAUUAUUUGGCCUGGGUUUUCUCCUCUUAAUCCGUUUCAUUACAAGCAUACGAGCAUCGGUUCGGCGAGACCGCCUAAUAUUCCAACAAGCCAUGGUUGCCUUAAAAACAGGCAGCUCCCCUCAAGUCUGGCUUAGUAUACUAGACCGGUAGUAAAAGACGGGUAAUGUAGGAGGUGGCCUAUACCAACCUAAGACAAGCUGUAGCAUGCUCUACAGUCUUUGAGGACGAGUAAGGAUACGAGCUGACCCCUCAACCUAAGACAGGAACGGUCUCUUGCCAGCCCUUAAAACAAAAUGAAAAGGGGGAGCUGUCGGGGUGUCCGGGACCCCAAAAGGCAAGCCAGACAAGAUGGUGGCUGGCAAGGAGCUAGUGCGGUCAGGCUCCAAGGUAAACAAGCUCCAGUUGAAUGAGGAAGUGAUCCCCAUUGGACCGGGCGCUGCAUGCUUUCUGUGUGAGCUCUGCAUGCUCUAUAUGCCUUGGUGUAGUGUCCACGCGCUUGACUCAUGUACUUCUUGAUUGGUUAGCUAUGCAUAUAUAACUGUGUGUUCUUCCUCACGAAAAGAAGGAUCCUCUGAAGUGUAAGAAGCUAGCAUGCAAGAAUAAAGAGCUGUCCUCAA